rnacentral:rRNA from 1 species
UACAGAGGGUGCGAGCGUUAAUCGGAGUUACUGGGCGUAAAGGGCGCGUAGGCGGUUUGAUAAGAUUGAUGUGAAAGCCCUGGGCUUAACCUAGGAACUGCAUCGAUGACUGUCAAGCUAGAGUAUUGUAGAGGGUAGUGGAAUUUCCGGUGUAGCGGUGAAAUGCGUAGAGAUCGGAAGGAACACCAGUGGCGAAGGCGGCUACCUGGACAAAUACUGACGCUGAGGCGCGAAAGCGUGGGGAUCAAACAGG